CGAAAGCCACUGCCUGGGCACUGAGUAAUUCAGUCCAUAGCUGAUGUAGGGGCUUCUUCCUGCCUGCAGCUCUCUCCCUUCUAGGAUAAAGGUGAUACCUACGGUAAUAUCCAUACCCUGCCUAAUAAGCUCACGUCUGUGACAGUCGAGAAAGGCUUCUAUGCCUUUCCAGAACUGCAUGAGACCCUCCUUGUCCAGUUCAUGCUCCUUAUAUAUGCACGUGAAGGGCCAUCCACUGAGCAUGGGAAACCAAUCAGAAGCUACACUCUUAAAGGGAAUGACUCUUCCUCCCAGCAGCUAUCAACUGCCAACAGCUCCUUGGUCAACAUUUACAGCACAGGAGCAGCAUCCUUCAGCUCUUGGGAAAUAUGUAAUUUCAGGAUGACCUGCAAUGGAAGAAAUUCAUCAUGUUCUCAAAUUGGAAACAUGGAUGUUCCUGCCAUCUUCAGUAACUGAGCCUUGAUCCUGUCAUGUACAAGUGUGAGCAGGCAGAAUGAUGGCACUGGGCCACGGAGAUGAGUGUGCCACAGUCCUGGGAACCACUCUCAGAGAGCUCCUGAGUCACCCAAGGACACGGGAUUGAACAAAAGCUCUCCAUGACAGCACUGCUGGAGAAGAAGGGUACAAGGAGCUGUGGAAGGGUGCUUACCUAUUGUCAGAGUGUCCCCAUGUCCAGGGACACAUGGAUAUAUCACAGAUGUUGUUUCCUAGUUAAUUUCUAUUGAUUUAUAUAGCAUCUUAAUAAUAAAGAUAAAGAAAGGCA
rnacentral:lncRNA from 1 species